rnacentral:rRNA from 1 species
GACGUAGGUGGCGAACGUUAUCCGGAAUUAUUGGGCGUAAAGGGUGCGUAGAUGGCCUGAUAAGUUAGCAGUGGGAAAUCGAGGCUCAACCUCGUGGAAGCUGGUAAUACUGUCAGGCUCGAGUGCAGGAGAGGUUAACGGAACUCCAUGUGGAGCGGUAAAAUGUGUGGAUAUAUGGAAGAACACCAAUAACGGCGAAGGCAGUUAACUAUUCUGUUACUGACAUUGAGGCACGAAAGCGUGGGGAGCAAAACGG